rnacentral:rRNA from 1 species
UGGUGGAGUGAUUUGUCUGGUUAAUUCCGAUAACGAACGAGACCUUAACCUGCUAAAUAGUUGCACUAACAAUCAUGUUGGUCAGUAACUUCUUAGAGGGACUAUGGAUGUUUAAUCCAUGGAAGUUUGAGGCAAUAACA